rnacentral:tRNA from 2 species
GCAGACGUGGUGGAAUUGGCAGACACGCAGGUCUAAGGAGCCUGUGUCUUCAAGACAUACGGGUUCAAGUCCCGUCGUCUGCACCA